AAGUCGUAACAAGGUUUCCGUAGGUGAACCUGCGGAAGGAUCAUUAAUGAAGAGGCCGAAAGGUAACUUCCAACCCUGUGUAACCUUCCUGUUGCUUCCACAGCUCCGGCUGUGCGAGGACCCCAACACUAUGAACUUGCGUCUGAGUCUUUUUAAAACAAAACAAAACUUUCAACAACGGAUCUCUUGGUUCUC
rnacentral:misc_RNA from 1 species